rnacentral:rRNA from 1 species
AACGAACGCUGGCGGCAGGCUUAACACAUGCAAGUCGAGCGCCCCGCAAGGGGAGCGGCAGACGGGUGAGUAACGCGUGGGAAUCUACCCAUCUCUACGGAAUAACGCAUGGAAACGUGUGCUAAUACCGUAUACGUCCUUCGGGAGAAAGGUUUGUCGGAGAUGGAUGAGCCCGCGUUGGAUUAGCUAGUUGGUGGGGUAAAGGCCUACCAAGGCGACGAUCCAUAGCUAGUCUGAGAGGAUGAUCAGCCACACUGGGACUGAGACACGGCCCAGACUCCUACGGGAGGCAGCAGUGGGGAAUAUUGGACAAUGGGCGCAAGCCUGAUCCAGCCAUGCCGCGUGAGUGAUGAAGGCCCUAGGGUUGUAAAGCUCUAUCACCGGUGAAGAUAAUGACGGUAACCGGAGAAGAAGCCCCGGCUAACUUCGUGCCAGCAGCCGCCGUAACAC